rnacentral:rRNA from 1 species
UACAGGGGGUGCAAACGUUGCUCGGAAUUAUUGGGCGUAAAGCGCGCGUAGGCGGCUACCUAAGUCGGAUGUGAAAGCCCCUGGCUUAACUGGGGAAGUGCACCCGAAACUGGGUAGCUAGAGUGCAAAAGAGGGUCGCGGAAUUCCUGGUGUAGCGGUGAAAUGCGCAGAUAUCAGGAGGAACACCUAUUGCGAAGGCAGCUCGCUGGGACGUUACUGACGCUGAGACGCGAAAGCGUGGGGAGCAAACAGG